rnacentral:tRNA from 1 species
GGGGUUGCAGCUCAGCGGUAGAGCACUCACCUAGCACAUGUGAGGCCCUGGGUUUGAUCCUCAGCACCACA